CAAGACCUUGCGCUCUUGGAGCGGCCGAUGUCUGAUUAGCUAGUUGGUGAGGUAAAGGCUUACCAAGGCGACGAUCAGUAGCUGGUCUGAGAGGACGACCAGCCACACUGGGACUGAGACACGGCCCAGACUCCUACGGGAGGCAGCAGUGGGGAAUUUUGGACAAUGGGGGAAACCCUGAUCCAGCCAUGCCGCGUGAGUGAAGAAGGCCUUCGGGUUGUAAAGCUCUUUCAGCCGGAACGAAACGGUCACGGUUAAUACCCGUGACAACUGACGGUACCGGAAGAAGAAGCACCGGCUAACUACGUGCCAGCAGCCGCGGUAAUACGUAGGGUGCGAGCGUUAAUCGGAAUUACUGGGCGUAAAGCGUGCGCAGGCGGUUUUGUAAGUCAGAUGUGAAAUCCCCGGGCUUAACCUGGGAACU
rnacentral:rRNA from 1 species